rnacentral:tRNA from 1 species
GGGUUGGCUCAGUGGUUAGAGCGUAGGUCUCGUAACCGAAAGGCCGCGAGAUCGAAUCCCUCUAGGCUG